rnacentral:rRNA from 1 species
GAUGAACGCUGGCGGCGUGCCUAAUACAUGCAAGUCGAACGAACAGAUGAGGAGCUUGCUCCUCUGCCGUUAGCGGCUGACGGGUGAGUAACACGUGGAUAACCUACCUAUAAGACUUGGAUAACUUCGGGAAACCAGAGCUAAUACCAGAUAAUAUAUUGAACCGCAUGGUUCAAUAGUGAUAGGCAGUUUUGCUGUCACUUAUAGAUGGAUCCGCGCCGCAUUAGCUAGUUGGUAAGGUAACGGCUUACCAAGGCAACGAUGCGUAGCCGACCUGAGAGGGUGAUCGGCCACACUGGAACUGAGACACGGUCCAGACUCCUACGGGAGGCAGCAGUAGGGAAUCUUCCACAAUGGGCGAAAGCCUGACGGAGCAAUGCCGCGUGAGUGAUGAAGGUCUUCGGAUCGUAAAACUCUGUUAUUAGGGAAGAACAAAUGCGUAAGUAACUAUGCACGUCUUGACGGUACCUAAUGAGAAAGCCACGGCUAACUUCGUG